UUUUUAUACGCCCGUCUAUGACGGGACGUAUUAUGGUAUACCCCGCGUCCGUCUGUCCGUCCGUCCGUCUGUCCGUCCGUAUGUCUGUUAAUGUCGUACGCUACGUCAAAUAUCCUUUGACAGAUUUUCUUCAAAUUUUAACACAAUCUUAAUAUUGAUAAACCCUGAUCCCCUUUCGUUUUUGACGGAAUUCUGAAUUGUCGUUCCAGAGUUAUGGGACUUUGUUCGUCAAAAUUUCGUGAUUUCAUUGAAUGUCCUACUGUAGCUAUAUAAAAAUGUUAAAGUUGUUAUAACUUUGGUAUGCUUGGACCUAGAGUCUUGAAACUUGACAUGAAGGUUGGCCAGAACUAGUAAGUAACCACUGGACAUUUCAAGGUCAUUCAUUUGAAGGUCAAGGUCACUGUGACCUUGAAUGUAAAAAUGUUAAAGUUCUUAUUUCAUGUUAUAACUUUGGUAUGCUUGUACCUAGAGUCUUCAAACUUGAAAUAAAGAUUGGCCAGUACUAGAAGAUGACCACUGGUCAUUUCAAUGUCAUUCAUUUGAAGGUCAAGGUCACUGUGACCUUAAAUGUUAAAAUGUUAAAAUUGUUAUAACUUUGGUAUGCUUGGACAUAGAGUCUUCAAACUUGACAUGAAGGUUUGCAAGCACACUUAGAUGACCACUGGUCAUUAUAAGGUCAUUCAUUCUAAGGUCAAGGUCACACAAGGUCACUGUGACCUUAAAUGUUAAAAUGUUAAAAUUGUUAUAACUUUGGUAUGCUUGGACAUAGAGUCUUCAAACUUGACAUGAAGGUUUGCAAGCACACUUAGAUGACCACUGGUCAUUUCAAGGUCAUUCAUUCUAAGGUCAAGGUCACUGUGACCUUAAAUGUUAUUGUUGUUCAUGUAUCCUACCGUAGCUCAAAUAUCCCCCGAUGGAUUUUUUAUACGCCCGUCUAUGACGGGACGUAUUAUGGUAUACCCCGCGUCCGUCUGUCCGUCCGUCCGUCCGUCCGUCCGUCUGUUAAUGUCGUACACUACGUCAAAUAUCCUUUGACAGAUUUUCUUCAAAUUUUAACACAAUCUUAAUAUUGAUAAACCCUGAUCCCCUUUCGUUUUUGACGGAAUUCUGAAUUGUCGUUCCAGAGUUAUGGGACUUUGUUCGUCAAAAUUUCGUGAUUUCAUUGAAUGUCCUACUGUAGCUCAAAUAUCCUUCGAUGGAUUUUUUUCAAAUUUCAACACAAUCUUAAUAUUGAUAAACCCUGAUCCCCUUUCGUUUUUGACGGAAUUCUGAAUUGUCGUUCCAGAGUUAUGGGACUUUGUUCGUCAAAAUUUCGUGAUUUCCAUGCUCAUGUACUUAUAAAAUAAACCAUGUAUUCAAAUACAAAUAAACUGAAGUAAAAAAAUUA